GAGGGUGGCAGAGCCCAGCCACCAGGGUCUGCUCCAUGCCUGGUCCCUGGAGAGGCCCUCACCCUCUCUGCUUUCACCCAACCCGACUGACACGGAGUAGGAGGUGGGAAUCAUGCAGGCAGGGAGCUUAGGAAGCCUGGUUCAAGCUCCUGUCCCGGCUCCCUAAGGUGUUCCCAGUUUGCGGAGGAUUACGUGCCCUCUCAGCCCAGUAGCACACUUUCCAAAUAAGCCAUCAGACUCCUCCCAAGAUCCUGAAACUGAGGCUCAGAGAGCAGAAGCAGCUUGGCCAAAGUCAUACAACUGGUAGUUGGUAAAGGAGCUGGCCUUGAACUCAGGGAUAUCUUGAAAGCCACUGUUGCUUCUAUGGACUCUAGCCAUUCAAAAGACCCCUCACCUUCUAUAAGACCCCAGGAGAUCCUCAGGGUCCAACUGCUCCCUUGAAAACAGGUCCCAGAUAUAUCUGCCAAAGGUAUGAUUAGGUGCCUAAACACAUACCAUGAGAAAGGGAUUCCAUGUCUUCCAAUCCUGCCCAGAGAUGCAGAGACACCACCACCCAGGGAGAGAUAGCCAGAAACUAAAAUAAGAUGUUAGAGACAGGGUGGUUGAUAGUGACAGAUACAGCCACACCAAGACAGGCUCAAAGGGAGGAAGACUGAGGGGAAGCCAGAGACAGAGAGGGACACAUUAGGCCAAAGAAUGAGAGAGAUAGCUGGAAAAGGAGACAAUAGGAGUAGAGGAGGGUACAGGCUGACAUGAAAAAACACCGACAGAUACACUCCAGUAUGCAGACAGACACAUAUAGACCCAUCUGACCUUCACAAGAAACAGACUGUGAAAGCAAGCAAGGCUCAGGCUGUGUGUGGCGUGCGUAUGUGUGUGUGCGUAUUGUGGGGGGAGCAUGCAGAGUCUGUAUAGCUACGCACAUUACACCAGCUGCUUCCAGCAAUUUCAUCUGAUUAAUAAUAAAUGCCCCAUAAUUACAGCC
rnacentral:sRNA from 1 species